UACGGGGGGGGCAAGCGUUGUUCGGAAUUACUGGGCGUAAAGGGCUCGUAGGUGGCCAACUAAGUCAGACGUGAAAUCCCUCGGCUUAACCGGGGAACUGCGUCUGAUACUGGAUGGCUUGAGUUUGGGAGAGGGAUGCGGAAUUCCAGGUGUAGCGGUGAAAUGCGUAGAUAUCAGGAGGAACACCAAUGGCGAAGGCAGCUCGCUGGGACGGUACUGACACUGAGACGCGAAAGCGUGGGGAGCAAACAGG
rnacentral:rRNA from 1 species